UGGGGAAUCUUGCACAAUGGGCGAAAGCCUGAUGCAGCGAUUCCGCGUGGAGGAUGACGCAUUACGGUGUGUAAACUCCUUUUCUGGUGGAAGACGAAUGACGGUACACCAGGAAUAAGGGACGGCUAACUACGUGCCAGCAGCCGCGGUAAUACGUAGGUCCCAAGCGUUAUCCGGAUUUACUGGGCGUAAAGUGUACGUAGCCUGAAAUGAAAGUCUGUCUUCAAAUACCUGGACUCAAUCGAGGAGAGGGGAUAGAUACUUCAUAUCUAGAGAUUGUUGGAGGUUAGUAGAAUUUCCGGUGGAGCGGUGAAAUGCGUUGAUAUCGGAAAGAAUGUCGAAAGCGAAAGCAGCUAACUACAAUAAAUCUGACGGUGAGGUACGAAAGCUUGGGGAGCAAACGGG
rnacentral:rRNA from 1 species